UCAAACUUGGUCAUUUAGAGGAAGUAAAAGUCGUAACAAGGUUUCCGUAGGUGAACCUGCGGAAGGAUCAUUAACAAUUGUCCGCCUUUAUGGAUAAUUUACACAUCCAUAUCCACCUUGUGUGCAUCACUGAAGCGUUUGUUGGCAGGCUUUUUCAAGUUCUCUUGGAUGGUUUUAAUGGCCAGGCCUGCCAAUUUUAUGUUUAAAAACAUGUCUCAAUAUUGCUGUCUGAAAUUGGUUUAUUAUAAAUAAAUACAACUUUCAACAACGGAUCUCUUGGCUCUCGCAUCGAUGAAGAACGCAGC
rnacentral:misc_RNA from 1 species